UCUGCUGAUUGUCAAUAACUCGUCUCGACUGAACCAGUGGUUCAGUCCUUGUCUUGGCGAUGCUGAGAGGAUAUCUCUUCCCUAUUUUCUUGCGUCGCCUCUUUUCUGAUCUAUUUGGCGUCAAUCAUCAUUCUCACUAAUACUAAUCCAUCAGGUUGACCCUCGUUGGACUGGAAUUUGGAUCAAUCGUGCAGGAGCAGGGUUCGUGGAUCCUCUAUGGACAGCAAACGCCUACAAGAUCCGCAGCCACACCGACAUCAUCUUCUGGCAUGGCAAGGUAUGUACAAGUCGAAUGAUUUAGAAGUAGAAACAUGUAGUACCCUGCUCCUAACUCGGUUCCUUAAUUACUUUCGAUUUCGUAGAAUGCCUUUCUGAAUUUCACACGUGUUUUCAAGGAUCUUAUUAGGCCACGAGGCCUAUGGCUAAGUUCCUCAAAUUCUGCGGCAGAUGAGUAUGUGAAGGCGGCGAAUGUAUAGUAUUAACAAAGACGAAUACUCUGUGAACUUGGGUUGUGCUGCGUGCAGGGUGGUUGAGAGUUUGUAGAAGCACCUAGAGGGGUUCACGGUGGGGGAGACAUUGGCACCAACAUUCAUAGUGUAGUGCGACUAGUGCAGCAAUUCAGCGUUGGAGUGGAACAAUGUGUGCUCUCCGCUACUAUUCGUUGUCGGCUCCAGGAUGCACAGCAGUGGUACCACCCGGUUCAGCGAAGCCAUGGGGGGUUGCUGCAUGUCUUCCUUGACGUGUUUGAGGCGCACCAUGGGUUUGUGUUUCUUGUAUUUCUGCUGAUUUAUGUCUAUUUUUUUAACAGGAACUUAGCCAUAUUCCUACAGUAGACGACUGAAGAUGCAGAAGGUACACGGAUAUUACUAGGUGUAGUUCAGCUAUUAGUUGUGCACAUAUUUGUUUAGCCAAGGAGGAAUAGUUAGAUACAUAUACAAGUACUAUGAGAAUGAAGAUGGCAAACCACCAGGAUGUUUUAUUUCUUACAUCGUCCAUCUCAUUUAGAAAUCUACUAGAAACUCACUACACAAUCUUCAACUUUGCAUUAAACGGCACUGAUUACUAUUGAAAUGGUAGAUUGCCAAUUACGACCGCAGUCUUAUACUUGAAAUACUGAACCACCUCCCCUAAGAAAAUUUAUUUGUUUGUCAAAUAUAUUAGCAAUACUAAUGAGCAUAAAAUUCUCAGUAUUCCAGAUUGACUUAGAAAGUUCAUGUUAAAAAAUAACCAUUUAGGCUGGAGACCUUUGUAUGAGUAAUGAUGGUCUUAACUGCAAAAUAAAAUAAAAUAAAUGUGUAAUAAUGUUCUGCCAACUGGCACCCGAUCUACUGCAUGAUUGUAACUGCAGAACUUAAUAUUCACUUCUCUUGUCCACCCAGGAUAUUAGCUUAUGGAUGUGACGGUUUGUCUAGAGCAUAUUUGAUUUCAGUAUACAUACGUUUGAAAAACUGAUCAAUAUUAUUGGCACUAAACCUCUAGUACCAAGCCAGAUUCCUAUGAGGUUAUUUCUAAUUGAAAACAGUUCCCGAAAUACUGCAGGGCACUAACACAUUUCAUCCGAUGACAACCUAAUGAUAGAUAGUAGCACUCUUAUAAUAGAUGAUUGCCAAGACAAACAGAUAUGCACGGCUCAUAUGUUGAUUGCAAGGUCGAGAGUGAAGCUACUUCUAGAUAGGUCCACAAGUUGUUUUGGAUUUUUUUUGCCGAAUCAAUGCUCAAACAUUAUGUUUUACAAUAGCUAGAUGUUGAUAGCAAGGUCGAGAAUUGGGCUGCUGGUAGUAGAUAGUUUCACAUCUUAUAAUCUUUGGAUCGUGUUCUUUGUAAU